GGAACGGUUGUUGACUUUUUGGGGUGUCAUCUCGCACUCUCCACACAAGAAAACAGAGAGUUUGUGUGCACUUUUU
ensembl:ncRNA Y17G7A.2 ncRNA